rnacentral:rRNA from 1 species
GAUGAACGCUGGCGGCGUGCCUAAUACAUGCAAGUCGAGCGAACAGACGAGGAGCUUGCUCCUCUGACGUUAGCGGCGGACGGGUGAGUAACACGUGGAUAACCUACCUAUAAGACUGGGAUAACUUCGGGAAACCGGAGCUAAUACCGGAUAAUAUAUUGAACCGCAUGGUUCAAUAGUGAAAGACGGUUUUGCUGUCACUUAUAGAUGGAUCCGCGCCGCAUUAGCUAGUUGGUAAGGUAACGGCUUACCAAGGCAACGAUGCGUAGCCGACCUGAGAGGGUGAUCGGCCACACUGGAACUGAGACACGGUCCAGACUCCUACGGGAGGCAGCAGUAGGGAAUCUUCCGCAAUGGGCGAAAGCUUGACGGAGCAACGCCGCGUGAGUGAUGAAGGUCUUCGGAUCGUAAAACUCUGUUAUUAGGGAAGAACAAAUGUGUAAGUAGCUAUGCACGUCUUGGCGGUACCUAAUCAGAAAGCCACGGCUAACUACGUG